AUGACCCAGAGGAGCUGUGACCUUGGGUUUCCAAGAAGCCUUAAUAAGGCUGGGCUGGCUAUCCCUGCUCUGAUGUGGAAGACAUCCUUAGUAUUGCUUCUCAGCAGAAGUGCUACUGGGAAGCCAGGGGCAGCAAGCACAGGCCUUGUCCACCCGCUUGGAGAGCCUGCUUAGCCUCAGACCCAGAAGGAAUGAGCCGCGGCAUUCUUCAGGGCCGUCUGGCUUUCUGAUGGUGCCAUCUUGUGGUCAGCAUGAUGAGGCUCUCAACGCGUCUGCAGUGAACCUUCCUGCCUCACACCUACUUCGGCCGUGGAUCCAAACAUCUGCUGUGUCUUUCUCCACACGUGCUCCUAACCCUUAUCCAUAAAGACUCAAGGACCCCGGUCCUCAUACACAAGGC
rnacentral:lncRNA from 1 species